rnacentral:rRNA from 1 species
GACAGAGGAGCCAAGCGUUGUCCGGAUUGACUGGGCGUAAAGCGCACGCAGGCGGGUGCGCGCGUGGGGUGUGAAACCUGGCCGCUUAACGGCCAGCGGCCAUCCCAUACGGCGCGCCUGGAGCCUUGCAGAGGGCGGUGGAAUUGCCGGUGUAGUGGUGAAAUGCGUAGAUAUCGGGAGGAACACCAGUGGCGAAGGCGACUACCUGGCCCAUUCUUGACGCUGAGGCGCGAAAGCUAGGGGAGCGAACGGG